GCAUCAGCAUCAUUAUAAAGCUCCUCAGGUUCACGCUGUCACACCUAAGAAUGAGCAGGUGAGAAGAUGCUGCUCGGUUCUUGCCUUAAAGCGGGAUGAUCCUGCCAUCUUGGAGAAGACCCAGGCUGGUGUUUGCUCCUUUAAGCGACUGGGACUCCCAAAUCUGCAGACUUUCUAGCAUCCUGCAGGGUGGCCAUGGUCUAGUUGAGCAGCCAGAAAGAAGCUCAUCAAUUGGAAUGGAGUUUGUCUCCUGUUUCUAGUUUCUUCAUCCAGAGCGGAAUUUUUCAAGAUGUGGUCCAAGGACGACCUGAGUCAGACUCACCCCAGGUCUAGGUGAAUGUCCACAACCACUGAAGCAGAAUCUUCAUGGGGUAGAUUCUAAACAAAACCUACAUUUGGAAGAAGCUCCUUAAGAAUUAUUCUGCAUAAUAAAACAUAUAAAACAGACACCUAGAGGUAUUAUUAGCUUGCUGCAAAAGUAGUUGCAGUUUUUGCCAUUACUAUUGUGCCAACCUAGUAUUAUCAAUUUAUUGCUAAUUGACACAGAUAUUUAGAUGACUCUUUGAAAACUUAUAUUUUUGGCCAGGUGCAGUGGCUCACACCUGUAAUACCAAUGCUUUGGGAGCCUGAAGCAGGAAGAUCACUUGACUGAGGCCAGGAGUUUGACACCAGCCUAGACAACAUAGUGAGACCCCAUCUCCACAAAUUAACACACACACACACACACACACACACACACACACACAUUUUUGUCCAAUGGCAGACAUCUCAUAAUCGGCAGAGUGAAGACUCAAACCCUUUGCCUUGUGUUCCUUCCCCUAUGUGACAGCUGCCUUGCUUUUGUCUGUCGAACCCUCAGGGGCAAAGCCCUGCACAGCCUGUCACCUGCUUGACACCAGAAAGCCCCGUCACUUUUUGUGGCAGGUGAAGGGUCCCUGGAUUUCACUCCACCUCUUAAAUUUCCUCUCCCUGUCCUUUCCAAAACACAUGCUGCAAACCAAAGAAUCCUGAAAUGUAUUUUAAGCAACUGUAGGAUAUAUAUCCAUGUAACCCAGAUAUGAGGUAACUUAUAUCAAUCUUCCCUCACCACGCCAUUCCCCAGCAAACGGAAGUGACUGCACACAAAUUUAAAUAACUGUUGACUCAACUCAGCUUUUUGCACCAAAGCAUAUCAGAGAUUACUGCUCACUUGUGAUUGGCUGUCCUUGAUAGCACAUCUGCCUUGGUCCAUUCAGCUGUGACGAGGGACAUAGGACACCUGGGCAACAGAGACUGUGGGGGGACAGUUUCAUUUAGAGUGGUGGGCAGAGCAGUCACCAUACCUGACAUUUCUAGUACAAUCCACAAGGUAGUCAAGUCCCAGAAGACUGCUGAAAGUACAUUUUAUAAUAACUAGUGUCAGGCCUCUGAGCCCAAGCCAAGCCAUCGCAUCCCUUGUGACUUGCACGUAUACAUCCAGAUGGCCUAAAGUAACUGAAGAUCCACAAAAGAAGUAAAAACAGCCUUAACUGAUGACAUUCCACCGUUGUGAUUUGUUCCUGCCCCACCCUAACUGAUCAAUGUACUUUGUAAUCUCCCCCACCCUUAAGAAGGUACUUUGUAGUCUCCCCCACCCUUAAGAAGGUUCUUUGUAAUUCUCCCCACCCUUGAGAAUGUACUUUGUGAGAUCCACCCCUGCCCGCCAGAGAACAACUC
rnacentral:lncRNA from 1 species